rnacentral:pre_miRNA from 1 species
AGAUGGAAAAUGAGUCAUCGGUGACGGGCCUUAGUUUUAUGGCCAAUAGAGAUUAAUCUAUCUCAAUCGGGCUUUGCUGUAGGGCUCGUCACAGAUGACUCAUCGGUGAUGGGCUCCAUACUAAUGCCCGAUUGAGAUGACAUUCAGGCCCGUCACGGAUGACUCAUCUGUGACGGGCCCUAAGGUAAUGCCCAAUGGAGAUAGAUUAAUCUCUAUCGGGCUUUAACUAAGGCUCGUCACCGAUGACUAUUUUUCCAUUUUU